UGGGGAAUCUUGCGCAAUGGGCGAAAGCCUGACGCAGCAACGCCGCGUGGAGGAUGAAGGCCCUUGGGUUGUAAACUCCUGUCGGCUGGGAAGAAAUCGUUCGGGGCUCAUACCCACGGACGUUGACUGUACCAGCAAAGGAAGCCCCGGCUAACUCUGUGCCAGCAGCCGCGGUAAUACAGAGGGGGCUAGCGUUAUUCGGAAUUAUUGGGCGUAAAGGGCGCGUAGGCGGCCAUGCGUGUCUUCCGUGAAAUCCCUCGGCUUAACUGAGGACGUGCGGAAGAAACUGCAAGGCUCGAGUCCGGGAGAGGGGGGUGGAAUUCCCAGUGUAGCGGUGAAAUGCGUAGAUAUUGGGAGGAACACCGGUGGCGAAGGCGGCCCCCUGGACCGGUACUGACGCUGAGGCGCGAAAGCGUGGGUAGCAAACGGGAUUAGAUACCCCCGUAGUCC
rnacentral:rRNA from 1 species